GACUUGCCUUGUGGCUCAAAAAUGCCUUUUUUCUGUUAUGAUGUUCCAGUUUCAAAGCAGGUGGUGAAGGUGAAGCUGGUGAAGACCUCCUCCCUGGACCUCAGUGACCCUGCUGUGGCUGAAGCUCUGCUGAAGCAGUUGGAACAGAAGUUGAAGGACAGCGGAGUGGAUGGAGAAGUAAAGCUGAGCUGGAGGAGCCAACCAGAUGGACAGAUCUUCCACAAGGACAAAUAAGCUUCAAACAGGAAGACUUGUCUCCUUAAAAUACAUCCUGUCCUUUAUUCUUUAUUAAUCUGUUUAUCUUUUAUUUAAUGAUCAGAAUCCUCUUAAAGGAAGCAAGUAGUAUA